CAUGUUAAGUGAGGAGAUUGGUGAAGCAACUUGUCAGAUAAGCCUUACGCUGAGUUUUUGGGCACCUACGAGUCGUUGUUUCUGUUUGCAAUGGGGGAAGACAGUAAUGUGUAUCUAUCGUUUUAGUUUAUGUGUCGCCGCAUCUGGUUUGCAACGGUGAAGACAAUAAUGGACAUCUCACCCAUCUCUCUCUAUUUGCUUAUGACGUCAGAGCACUAAUUCCUCUCUUAGUCCUCUACUUCAGUAGCUCGUUAAACUUAAGCUUGAGACAAGAUGCCCUCCUAAGAGGAAAUUGGGGGACAUAGUUGCGAUUCAGACCAACACCCAGUCUAAAAGUUUUUCCAACUUCUGUUGUGGCUUGCCAAUUAGUUGAGAGGCAAAGCUGGAGGAUCAAAACUAAUUAGAUUUGCCCACAAAUUGGCAAGCUUCAGCAAGUAGUGAUUUCCAUCCCAAACCACCAUUUUCAUUCCUGAUGCCAAUAAAUAUAGAAAAUUUCAGUAAAUGCAUUGG